UCUUUUUUCUAGGUUUGCCUCUACUCCCU
rnacentral:piRNA from 1 species